rnacentral:rRNA from 1 species
AUUGAACGCUGGCGGCAUGCUUUACACAUGCGAGUCGAACGGUAACAGGCCGCAAGGUGCUGACGAGUGGCGAACGGGUGAGUAAUGCAUCGGAACGUGCCCAGUCGUGGGGGAUAACUACUCGAAAGAGUAGCUAAUACCGCAUACGAUCUAUGGAUGAAAGCGGGGGACCGUAAGGCCUCGCGCGAUUGGAGCGGCCGCUGUCAGAUUAGGUAGUUGGUGGGGUAAAGGCUCACCAAGCCAACGAUCUGUAGCUGGUCUGAGAGGACGACCAGCCACACUGGGACUGAGACACGGCCCAGACUCCUACGGGAGGCAGCAGUGGGGAAUUUUGGACAAUGGGCGCAAGCCUGAUCCAGCAAUGCCGCGUGCAGGAAGAAGGCCUUCGGGUUGUAAACUGCUUUUGUACGGAACGAAACGGCUCUGGUUAAUACCCGGGGCUAAUGACGGUACCGUAAGAAUAAGCACCGGCUAACUACGUG